CGGUAUGGGGCACUGGGGGGGCGGAGGGACCCCCCCCCCCCCCCCGCUAUGGGUCACACGAAGGCCUGGGGCCGCCCUAUGGGGCACUUGGGGGGCACCCGGACACUGCUAUGGGGCACUUGGGGGUCAGAGGGACCCCUCCCCCCCCAGCUAUGGGUCACUUGGGGGUCACAGGGACCCUUCCCCCCCAACUAUGAGUCACUUGUGGGUCACAGGGACGUGUGGGUCCCCACUAUGGGGCACUUGGGGGGCAGAGGGACCCUUCCCCCCCCAGCUAUGGGUCACAGGGACCCCUGGGUCCCGGCUAUGGGUCACUUGGGGGUCACAGGGAUGUGUGGGUCCCCGCUAAGGGUCACUUGGGGGUCACAGGGACCCCUCCCCCCCCACUAUGGGUCACUUGGGGGUCAUAGGGUCCCUGCUAUGGGUCACUUGGGGGUCAGAGGGACCCCUACACCCCCAGCUAUGGGUCACAGGGAUCCCUGGGUCACUGCUAUGGGGCACUUGGGGGUCACAGGGAUGUGUGGGUCCCUGCUAUGGGGCACUUGGGGGUCACAAGGGGGUCACACGGGCCCCACUAUGGGGCACUUGGGGGUCAGAGGGACCCCUCCCCCCUGCUAUGGGGCACUUGGGGGUCACUUGGGGGUCACACGACCCUUCCCCCCCCAGCUAUGGGUCACAGGGACCCCUGGGUCCCGGCUAUGGGUCACUUGGGGGUCACAGGGAUGUGUGGGUCCCCGCUAUGGGUCACUUGGGGGGCACCCAGACUCUGCUAUGGGUCACUUGGGGGUCACUGGGUCCCCGCUAUGGGGCACUUGGGGGUCACAGGAAUGUGUGGGUCCCAGCUAUGAGUCACUUGGGGGUCAGAGGGACGUGUGGCUCCCCGCUAUGGGGCACUUGGGGGUCAGAGGGACCCCUCCCCCCCAGCUAUGGGUCACAGGGACUCCUGCCCCCCAACUAUGAGUCACUUGGGGGUCAGAGGGACGUGUGGGUCACUGCUAUGGGUCAAUAGGGGGGCACCCAGACUCUGCUAUGGGGCACUUGGGGGUCACAAAGACCCCUCCCCCCCCACUAUGGGGCACUUGGGGGUCACAAGGACAUGUUGGUCCCUGCUAUGGGGCACUUGUGGGUCAGAGGGAUGUGUGGGUCCCCGCUAUGGGGCACUUGGGGGUCACAGGAACCCCUGCCCCCCCACUGUGGGGCACUUGUGGGUCAGAGGGACGUGUGGGUCCCUGCUAUGGGGCACUUGGGGGUCACUGGGUCCCUGCUAUGGGGCACUUGGGGGUCACUUGGGAGUCACAGGGACCCUGCCCCCCACUAUGGGUCACUUGUGGGUCACACAGACCCCGCCGUGGUCACUUGUGAGUCAGAGCGCCCCCUCCCCCACUCACUUCUUUGUGGGGGGGUGUUGGUGCCUCCGUGACCUUUGCCCUUUGCCCCC
rnacentral:lncRNA from 1 species